CGAGCCGUCUGGCGUUAUAGAACUCCUAGUUCCCUUCACCAAGGUUCAAUUCCUUGGCCGCUUAC
rnacentral:tRNA from 1 species